rnacentral:rRNA from 1 species
UACGUAGGGUGCAAGCGUUGUCCGGAAUUAUUGGGCGUAAAGAGCUCGUAGGCGGUCUGUCGCGUCUGCUGUGAAAACUCAGGGCUUAACCCUGAGCUUGCAGUGGGUACGGGCAGACUAGAGUGCGGUAGGGGAGACUGGAAUUCCUGGGUGUAGCGGUGAAAUGCGCAGAUAUCAGGAGGAACACCGGUGGCGAAGGCGGGGUCUCUGGGCCGUAACUGACGCUGGAGGAGCGAAAGCCAUGGGGGAGCGAACAGG